rnacentral:rRNA from 1 species
GACGAACGCUGGCGGCGUGCUUAACACAUGCAAGUCGAACGGAAAGGCCCUGCUUUUGUGGGGUGCUCGAGUGGCGAACGGGUGAGUAUCACGUGAGUAACCUGCCCUUGACUUUGGGAUAACUUCAGGAAACUGGGGCUAAUACCGGAUAGGAGCUCCUGCUGCAUGGUGGGGGUUGGAAAGUUUCGGCGGUUGGGGAUGGACUCGCGGCUUAUCAGCUUGUUGGUGGGGUAGUGGCUUACCAAGGCUUUGACGGGUAGCCGGCCUGAGAGGGUGACCGGCCACAUUGGGACUGAGAUACGGCCCAGACUCCUACGGGAGGCAGCAGUGGGGAAUAUUGCACAAUGGGCGGAAGCCUGAUGCAGCAACGCCGCGUGCGGGAUGACGGCCUUCGGGUUGUAAACCGCUUUCGCCUGAGACGAAGCGUGAGUGACGGUAAUGGGUAAAGAAGCACCGGCUAACUACGUG